CUAGCGUUUAAUUAUAAAACUAUAAUAAAACUUAUAUGUAAAGUGUAAUCAUCUUCUCUGUUAUAUCAGUGCAGAACACCGGUCACUUGACCAGUAUUGUGUUUGAGGCUGAAGGCCAAAUCUCAGGCAGACAUGGUGGAGCAUCAGUUCAAGAGGUUUCCAAUACAGUGAGGAGGUUGUGUGCUCAUCUCGCAAACCAGCAACAGGUCAGGCGCCAGCUUACAGUAUUAAAGUGAUUCUUUCAUUCAAGAUGGUGUAAGAUUCUCUCACUUUUCUUCAUCGCUCUUAGCAAUCAGAGCUUCUCCUGAAUCUGGUGCUCCAGUUGAGAACCUUGUCGUCCCAUCAGUUGAGAGACUUGUGGCAUGAGGCUUCCUUCAAAUGUCGAGAUGACUGGCAGCCCCUUCUAGAUACUCUGUCAGCCUGUGGAACUGAGGAUUGCAUCCUUGUCACUACAGACCUCAUACUCAACAAAGAAGUGGACCAGGAACAAAUCCUACCUCUCCUCAAUACUAUCAGUUUUGCUUCCAACCCUACUUCAUCCAUGAUUAGCCACCUUAGUGUAUGUUUUUGAGUUGUUUAAUGGGUUAAUUUAAAUUAAUUAUAAUACAAAAUUGAAAG
ensembl:lncRNA